UACAGAGGGGGCAGGCGUUAUUCGGAAUUAUUGGGCGUAAAGGGCGCGUAGGCGGCUUUUCAAGUGACGGGUGAAAUCCCUCGGCUUAACCGAGGAACUGCCUGUCAGACUGGAAGGCUUGAGACCGGGAGAGGUGAGUGGAAUUCCCAGUGUAGCGGUGAAAUGCGCAGAUAUCGGGAGGAACACCUAUGGCGAAGGCAGCUCGCUGGGACGUUACUGACGCUGAGACGCGAAAGCGUGGGGAGCAAACAGG
rnacentral:rRNA from 1 species